GGGGGGGGUUCAGGCAAGCAGAAUACGUGAGGAAAGGCUUGGCAUCUGUGGAUGGACAGAACAUGCACGGGACAAUAACACCAGCAGGGGCGUGGGGAGGGGAGGGCCGCCUGGACAACAGGACAGAUAAAACAUAAGGAGAUGACUCCACACCAGACCACGCCCACACCUGCCAGCCCUGGGCUGGCAUUUGGGGGUCUCAUCCUGCUCGCUCCUUACAAAACCCUUAGGACACAGAAGUUCAUCCCGCUUCCACCGCUGAGGUGAACGAAGCCACAGGCUACAUAAUGCAUCCAAAGUUACUGGAAGAGCGAGCGGCUGGGCCAGGACCCCACAACCAGGGCUUUCCCCACACUCCCCAGGGCCUCAGAGGAGGCCUCAAGAAACACCACCGCCUGGAAGUGAGGAGAGGCGGGCCUGCCCCCAUCUUCAUGCAGCCGGGCAAGGCAUCUGCUGCGCUGGGUCAUUUCUCGCGUCUGUGCAAAAGUACAGUUAAUCCACAAGCUCGCUCUCAGCUAUGGAACUACCGACAGCUAACUGAGAAGCUGUUUGCACAUGUGGGUUUGUACUCUGCCCGCAGAGCGGGCGCGGGCGAGGUGAUCUGCAUUAUAACCCGUAUGCAGCUGGCGGAGAAACACGGGCCCACCUUCUCCUGCCCGCAGAGUGCACCUGCCGGGCAGGACUGAACUUGGCCCCAGAGAACAGCUGAUGCUUCCUGGUGCCGGUUCUUCCUGCUUUCUACUUGUUCUUCUGCUUGCACAACAUCUUCCUUCGGGGGAGUUGUGGCUUGGACAAGCACGACCUCGCUGUCCCAACUCAACCAGAAAGGAUGGGCUGUGCCGUCCACAUUGUCUUUCGGUGCCUCUCUGCUUUUCAUGGCUUCGGUCCCUUCAGGCAGGCUCCUGCGGUGGGGGUGUUGCAUGGGCGACUAAGAAAGCAAGUGUGGUCAGUGAGCAAGCAGUUGGCUCUGUCUGUUUUUGCCACCGGUGGCACCAGGGCCAAGAUUGGUUGGUGGCGAUGGCAGGGGGAGACAGUGAGUCUGUCCCUAUCCACUCUGGCUGGGGCAUCUGUCUGCAGGGCGGUGUUAUUCUGUGCGGACGGUCAGGGUGAAACCCAGGGGAUGAGCAGCAGGUGGGACACCAGACAGGCAUUUCCCCAGGAGGGAGCUGUGCACAGAGGAGCUCCUGACCACCUCCUUCCGGAGCACUCGGACACGCUCAAAUGCCCAGCCCAGCCCAGUUCAUGGAUCCUUUUCUGCCCUCGAAGUGCCUGUUGCUGUUUAGUCUAUGUAAAUCCACUGUUGACAAGUUAGCCCAUUUUUCUAGGGCCGACGGGAGUGCCGUGGACGCAAAAGGACGUUGGGUUGAGUGAAUGAAUAUGUGUCAACACUCCCCUCUGCAACGUGCCAGGUGGGUCUGGAAUCAUGGAGCUGUUAUGGACUGAACUGUGUCCUCCCAAAGCCAUAUGUUGAAGUCUUGACCCCAGGACCUCAGAAUGUGACUGUGUUUGCAGAUACGGUCUUGAAAGAGAUGAGGGAGGUAAAAUGAGGUCGUUAGAAUUGGGCCUUAAUCAAAUCUGACCAGGGUCCUUAUAAGAAUUGAAAGAGAGGGGCGCCUGGGUGGCUCAGUCGGUUAAGCGUCCGACUUUGGCUCAGGUCAUGAUCUCGCAGUUUGUGGGUUCGAGCCCCCCGAGUCGGGCUCUCUGCUGACAGCUCAGAGCCUGGAGCUGCUUCAGAUUCUGUGUCUCCCUCUCUUUCUGCCCCUCCCCCACUCAUGCUCUGGCUUUCUCUCUCAAAAAAUAAACAUUUAAAAAAAUUUUUAAAAAAAAGAAUUGAAAGAGAGCCCAGGGAUGUGUGUGUGCACAGAGGGGGGACCAUGUGAGGACACAGCAAGAAGAUGGCAUCUACACACCAGCUUUCAGGACUGUGAGCAAGUAAAUUCCUGUUGGUUAAGCCCCCAGUCAGUGGUCUUUGUUACGGCAGCCGGAGCUGACUGAUACAGAGUUCAAAGAGAGAUCCUCUCCACCUCAGAGGCCUCACUGUCUACAGGUGGCGCUCACACCUACAAUGUAUGUGUGGUAGCAGAAAAGGAACAUUAGGGCACCUGGGUGGCUCAGUCGGUUAAGCAACUGUCUUCAGCUCAGGUCAUGAUCUCACAAUUCAUGAGUUCAAGCCCCACCUCGGCCUCUGUGCUGUCAGCUCUCUCCCCGCUCUGUCUGCCUCUCCCCUGCUCACAUUCUCUCUUUCUCUCUUAAUAGUAAAUAAAAACAUUUAAAAAAAAAAGAAGAGAAAAGAAAAGCAGCAUGCUUUCCCUCUGACUGGCCUGCCUCUCGGUGUCCCCCUCCACACCUGUAUUUAAUUACCAGUUCAGGAUAGCUCUCCAGCCACAUCCCGUAUACAGUGAACCUGCACCAGACAGAGGCAAGUUGAGAUGGCCUUGACCGAGGCUUUUAUAUCUCCCUGCCAUCCCAAAUCACUGAGAUCUAAAUACCUCUUAUUGUUGACGUUCUGAAAGUAACUCAAUACUUGUCCAUCCGUCUGGAGAUCUCUUAAGGUCCAUUACAGUGGAAUGGUUGCUCUGGAGAUUCUAUACGGACUCACUUCUCAAUGCUGUUCACGAGGGACACCCCUUUGAGUGAGUUAAAUGCUUUGUGGAGGAGUGAUUUAUUGGAUGGAUUUGUCCAUUGUUUUACUCUAUGAACAAUUAAGAAAAAUUGCUACCGCCUAAAUCCUUGGCUGGGAUUCCCUUUCCCUUGGUCUGCUACUUACUUCAUCCUUGACAAACUCCUACACAUCUCUCAAAACCCAACUCAGGGGUUUGUCUUCCCUAAGCUGAGCUGACUAGCCCCUCUUUAACACUAUCACUCCUUGUUAAACCCCAUGACCAGUUUGCUAUGGACUGAAUGUGUCCCCCCUAAAUUUAAUGUUAACACCCUAACCCCCAAUGUGAUGGCAUUUGGAGGUGGUCCCCUUGAAAGGUGAUUAGGUUAGAAGAAGUCAUGAGGAUGGGGUCAAGGGAUGGAAUUGGCAACCUGGUAAACAGAGGAAGAGACCAGAGCUGGCUUUCUCCAUCAUGUGAGGACACAGCAAGAAGACACUGCCUGUGAACCAGGCUGCAGGACUUCCCCAGACACCUGACCUGCUGGCACCUUGACCUCAGACUUGCAGCCUCCACAGCUGAGAAACACGUCUGCUGUUCAGGCCUCCAGUCUGAGGCAUUUUGUUACAGCAGCAGAGCGGGCGGACGGAGACACGGUCUGUGUGGCUUCCAGGUGGGGUGGGGACCCCUGGAGGGGAGCGGGGCUUUGGCGCCGCUCUCUGGAAGCAUCUGGCCACAGCUCUGCGCAUAGGAGGAUGCCCCCCAACGAGGAGGCGAAUGAAUGAGCUGCCACCUCAGGGAUCCAACCACCCCGCAGGCCCCAAGCAACCUCGCAGGUUGUUGCUUAACCUUAGGGUGUGAUGGUUUCGACAGGUUCUACUCUGGAGGCAGCCCAGAACAAACCGGUGGUAUUUUAGGGGGCGAGGAAAAGCCUCUUCCUUUAUGUGAUAAGAAAACCACUAUCAAAAGGCGAUCAAAGUGAAGUGCAGAGCAGCUGAAACGUGCUUUCUUGAUCCUGGACUCCAGGCCUUGCUGGUUUUCCCGGUGGGCGGAGCUUGUUAGGGGCACAGCCCGCUGGAGCCCCGCCGCCCGCUCAGCGCGGCCCCGCUGGAAAGUCACAGCAGCGCGCCCGGAAGGACGGUCUGCAAGGUCUGCACGGUUUGCACGAGGAAGGUGGCGACCCCGGGCGGGCUCCGGCUCUGAGGGAUUUACAGCUAGCCUCGUAAACACCGCGCCCGAGCCCUCCAGGGACCCCAGAGUCACAAGCAGCUCGGGGCUUCCUGCGGGGGGGCGCUGCGGCCCGAAAUGCCCGGGUGCAAAACAAGACCCAGUAGCAACUUCCGAUGCCGUCCUGGGACAGAUAGCUGCGGGUCUCACGGGCCCCGCUCGGGGCGCCCGGGUUCGCGUGCACUUUGCAGGGUGGGGGUGGAGCUGUGCUGAUUUUCACCGAGAACACUCCACUUCCGGUGCCCCACGCAUUAUUUCGGCGCCAUAUUGUUUCCCAGACCCGCGUCCAGAUUUGGUUGAAUGAAGCUGGCAUAGACAGGAAAGUUACGAGGUGUGGAGUUCCACUCCCGUGUCCUGUGGUGACGUAAGCGUGGACCUCCGGCUCUGGGCAAGAGUGUCUCCAAGUUUUGCUGGCCUCAUCAGCAGCAUGGGGAAGAGGGGCUGCGCAGUUUGCAUCCCCACCGGCUGUGAGCUAGAGUUCCUGUUUCUCCACGUCGUCCCCAGCAUUUGGUGUUCUCAGUGCUUCCAGAUUCUGGCCGUUCUCACAGGUGUGCAGUGGGGUGUUCAUAGUCGCAUUUCCCUGAUGACAGACGAUGUGGAGGGUCUUGUCCUGUGCUCAUUGGCCAUCAGGGCAUCUUUUCCCCAACGCAGUGACAGACACACGACAGCCACCACCAGAACUGAGUAUGGGCCUCGUUCCCGAGUUCCUUAUUUCUGAAAUGAGGAUGAGAGCUUCCCGCAGGCAGAGCACGUCUGUCCUGUCUGCUACAGUGGGCUCAGUGGGGAGACAGUUCUAUGAGAUCUGCUCCUUGACUUUACCUUUGGUCCACAAAGACCCCGUAGGAUUUUCACAUUUGUCUUAGGAAAGUCUGAACACGCCUGCCAGAUGGUUGACAGUGACCCCCACAAGACACAGAAUGGAGGCUUGGUGUGGUCCUGGUCCCUGCACGAGGCCCACAAAGUUGCCAAGUGGGUAUUGCAAGUUUUGAGGGACUUCAAAUAUCUCAGAGAAAAGAUGUGUAACUACACAUAGUCACGAAGAUAAUGAGUUCAUGGCUUACUCACUUCUCUUCACCCGGAAAAAUAAUGUACGCUAAAUGCUGUGUUUUUAAUCUGGGCCAAAUACUUGGCUGAAAGCUCUCUGGGUCUUAUCCUACUUGAUUCUACACACAGUCCUAAUAUGUAGGCUGUUACUGGCACCCUUGUUUUAGAGAGAGGGAUGCUUUCCACAGAAAGGGGAAGCUGCUGACGUCACGGACCUCACGAGGAAGGGAGCAGGGAUUCAAACCCAGGGAGACCGACUGAAUGCCGAUAUUCUAACGACCAGACUAGACUUUGAGGGAUUUGCCCCCUUCCCCCCAGGGAGGGUGGUGUGGGUCUUGAGGACCUUUCAGGAUUGCACCCUACUCAUCCAGGAUUCUCCUCAAACAAUCCACAGGUUCCAAGCUCCCACUGGCAAAGCACCAGGAACGAGUUACAAAGUGUGCUGAACUACCCAUGGAGGGGCCACAUCUGAUCUUCAGAGCAAGCCUCUGCCCCUUCCUCCGACCGGGUUCCAAUAUCCAAGAGUCAGACCUUAUGUUUCCGGCCCCUGGUGCGUAGAGGUGCUUGAUUAAAUCUUUUGAUAAGAAUUAAGUUUUGGUCCAUCACUGAGAAGAGAGCAUAAUUAACAGGCUUUAAAAAAAAAUAGGCUGCUUGUUAGAGCAGUUUUAGAUUCACAGUAACAUUGAGGGGACAGUACAGAGUGCUCCCUCACCCCUGUACCGGUUAUGGUUGAUGAACCUGCACGGAUCCACCAUCAUCACCCAGAGUCCAUAGUUCACGCCAGGGCUCACUCUUGGUGUUGUGCAUUCCGUGGGGUUCGACAACUGUAGAAGGACAUGCAUGCACCAGACGGUAUCAUUCAGAAUAGUCCCACUGCCCUACCAGUUCUCUGUGCUCUGCCUUCUAACGCUUCCCUACCCAGCCCCUGGCAACCACUGCUCUUACUGUCUCCGUUCUUUCGCCUUUUCUAGAAGGUCAUAUAGUUGGAAUCAUUCAGUACAUAGCCUUUUCAGAUUGGCUUCUUUCGCUUAGUGAUUUGCGCUUAAGGUUCCUCCUUGUCUGGUCACGGCUUGAUAGGUCAUUUCCCUUCAGUGCUGAGUAUUAGUCCAUUGUCUAAGGAGAGCAUAAUUUUCAUCUCAUAGAAAUGAAAAGCACUCCCUAGAUCCAUGGAAUUUGUACUGAACAUCAGAGCCAGAACCAGCACAGAACUGCUGGCACAUCCAGGAUCCACUGUCUCUAAAGAGACACAGAAAAUAUUUUUUUCCCCCUGAAUGGCAGUAGCGAUGGGAUCCUGACCCAUAGGUCCCCAUGAUAAAAAGCAGCCCAUGUGGCCCUGUCAUCUGAAGUGCGAACAGCUAUUAUGUAUACGGUCCAGUCUCAAGGACCGGCAUGCUUAGCUUCAUGAAUAAAGUGCUUGCUGGAAAUUGCACUUCUAGGUAUUUAUCCAAAGGAUGCAGGUGUGCUGAUUCAAGGGGCACAUGCACCCCAAUGUUUAUAGCAGCGCUAUCGACAAUAACCAAAGUAUGGAAAGAGCCCAAAUAUCCAUCGACAGACGAGUGGAUAAAGAAGAUGUGGUGCAUACACACGAUGGGAUACUACUACUCGACGAUCAAAAAGGAUGAAGUCCUGCCAUUUGCAAUAACGUGGAUGGAACUAGAGUGUAUUAUAUGCUAAGCGAAAGAAGUCAGAGAAAGAGAAGUAACAUACGAUUCACUCAUAUGUGGAAUUUAAGGAAAACAGAUGAACACAGGGGAAGGAAAAAUAAAAUAACGGAGAGGAAGGCAAAGCAUAAGAGACUCAAAUAUAGAGAACAAAUAGGGUUGCUGGAGGGGAGGUGGGGGGUGGGGAAGGUCUGAAUGGGUAAUGGACACUGAGAAGGGCACUUGUUGGGAUGAGCACUGGGUGUUAUAUGUGAGCAAGGAGUCACUGGAUUCUACUCCUGAAAUCAUUAUUACACUGUAUGUUAAAUAACUUGGAUUUAAAAAAAUAAAAAGACACUUGCUGGAUAUCUCACGAAUGCUGACUUCCAAGUUAAGGGCACUUGCUAUUGAAAUUGGAGAGUCGUCAUAUUCCUUUAAGGGGAAUGUAUAACCGCAUUUGAACACGUCCCUAUCUCAAUAAACCCUUAAGCACACGACUUGAACCAGGACAGGUCCCCAGCUUGCUGAGAAAAGCAGAAGGCGCUGUCUGUGCCAAGCGUUCACAAGCUCGGGGUACAGUCCCCGUGGGGUGUUUGUGUGUGUGACCGAGAGUAACGAACUGAUAAAUCAACCACCCAAGCUUACACCUGAAAUAGGACAGGAGGUGGAGAACUGGAUACGACACCGCCCCCCCCCCCCCCCCCCCAGGCUGGACUACCGGGACGCCGAGUCCCCGUCGGGAUAGAGGGGCAACAGCGCCACCUGCCGGGCCCACGCGGCCCUGCGCCACACGGCGAGCGCGCCUGCAGCUGGGGGCUCAGGGGGCCGCUUGAAAUCCCAGCUUCAAGUACUCUCAGUUUCUCUACGCUCUGCCCACAACUGGGAAUUAGGCGACAUUACAAUGGCAUCAGGUGCUCAAUUAAAACAUGAGUGUGAAGUGUGCUCCGCUCAUAAUAUCGGCCUAUUCAAAUUGCCCCCGGGGAAUGUCUCCAUCGGGAAAGCCAGCCAGGUCCCCAGCCGCUCAGGGCCUUAACCUGCCAGCGAGCUGUUCAUUCCUACUCAGCACCGGCUCCUUGGAACUCGUGGGUGUGGGUGAGUGUUGUCAUAAGUGAGAGACGAAGGCAUUUGGCCAUUUAUUUAAAAACCAGGUCAAAAGUAAGCCACAUUGAGCUUUUAGCUGACAGGUGUUUAAAAUGAAUGACUCAAAACGCUGAAAGUUUUCGUAGCCUGACAAAAUUCAACCUGGACCCUUGCCCACCUAACUCCAUUACUCAAAUUAAUCACAUUACUUCUUGGCCGCUGGGGAAAAAUAUAUAUUGACCUCCAAAUUCUUCAGACAUUUGAGAAUGGUGAGUGGGGUCCUAAUACAAGUAAAACUUUCUUUUUAUCGUCCACUUCAAAAUGGCUGUGAUUUAAAUUUUUUUUAAUGCUUAUUUAUUUUUGAGAGAGAGAGCAUGAGCCGGGGAGGGGCACAGAGAGAGGGAGACACAGACCUGAAGCAGGCUCCCGGCUCCGAGCUGUCAGCACAAAACUCAAGAACCAUGAGAUCAUGGGCCGGAGUCGGACGCUUAACUGAUGGAGCCACCCAGGUGCCCCUUCACGGUGGCUGUGAUUAAAGCAAACAGAUGCACGAUCAACGACUAGAAUUGGUUCCCUUCACGAUUCCCAGAAGUCCUGGUGAUGAGAGGGAACGCAGCAAUCUGACACUUUGGGGGAUUCCCAUUUUGUGCCCUGGUCAUUUCACCAGGGCCAUGUUGUCACCCUGUGAACCCACAGGGCCUGAGAAGGGUCUCUCUGCUCCACUCUUCAACCACAGAUGAGAUUUUUGCCUCUCACGUCAAACAAGGUCAGAAGACCAUAGGAAGUUGACCCCAAACAAUUUUAUGGCUUUGGAGUGAUUACUAUGAAACUUUUUAGAGAAAACAAGCUUCACUCUUCUUCACGAUCCAUGACACAUUUGCUUUGGGAUGAGUCAAUAUUCAGAACAGGGGGUGAAGGUGCCUCCAUCGGCCGUGGUCUCAGGAAACAGUGGACCCCUGGCUGCACAGGAUGCCUCUCGGACUGCGGCUCUUCAGAGGCCAUCAGCAUGAGGAAUGGAAAAGAACAGAAGGCUACGGUCACUUGGGCAAGACGCUUCACCCUUGCCGUGGUGGGUGUGAAUAAGAAUCCUAUAACCGAGCCAGGCCAACUUACAGCACCCUUACAGGACAGGAACCUGAGGCUCAGGGGAGAUCGAGUGGUUUACAAACAGUCAGAGAAUGGGCUAGAAAAAGAAUCCAGAGAGAACCCGGAUGGAAUCUCCCACAAGGUCUCCCCGUCACGUGGCUUCCCUCAAGGCAGAGAGAGCCAAAGCUCCUAUCUGUGGUUGACUAAGCUUCAGGUACAAGAAAAAAAAAGAAAAUCUCUGUUCUUUUAUCAAACACUCCAUCUUUUAAAGUUAAAGACAAAGUGUUGCCUUUAAAGCCAAAAGUAUCAGGUCUAAAUGACAUCCUUAACUGACCUCGGUUGGUUGGUUUUUGUGUUUUCUUAGUUUCAGUUUAAAGAAUACACUAAGAACGAAAGCCCAUAGUGUGUAUUCCGUUCCCAGCCUCAUCCUCCUGCUCUUCCCUGCACCACCACCCCCAGCCUUGCCAAUUUGUAAACAAAUCAAAAAAAUCCCCAAUGGGCCGAAAACCUGUCCAUGGUUUACUCCAGCUGGAAAGAAUUGUGCUCCACCAAGAUUCAGACCCUGUUGAUAAUGGAAACCCUGGCGGGCAAAGUUGUGAUUAUAGUCUUGCCGUAAUGAAUGUAUCUGUGUGGUCAAAGUCACGGAUUUUUCCAUGGUAUUUUUCCAUGGGAGAUUUCCUCCCUGAGGGACGUUAACUUAAAAUCCGGAUUAUAGCUUUGACUUUACAGCAGGAUCUCUAACACUGAUAUAGCUGACAUCGCUAUAGCUUGAAGCUAGUGAUUAUAUUGACUGUGGCAGUCAUGAUUGGCAAGGGGGGGGGGGCAUUAGAUUGAUUUUUGCAAGACUGAUGAGGGCAGGGGAUAGAGUUUUAGUGGGUAUAGAAACUUACGUCAGGAAACUUAGACAAUUUCCUAAUUUUUAACCAGGGAGUAUUUUCUCUCCUCUCUGAAUUUGUGGUUACAAUAAAGUACAAAAAGUGAACAGGGCUGACAGGUAUUAGGGUGACCAGCCAUCCCCAUCGGCCUGGGACAAUUUGGUGUUAGCCCUAAAUAAAAUCCCUCCAGCCCUAGGGGAACCAGGAUACUUGGUCAUCCUAAAUGGUAUGAAAACUUUAAUUAAAUUCAGGAGAAAAGAAAAGUAAUAGCCUAUUUUAAAGAGAGCAGCCAGACUGAGGUUUCAAGGAAAAUCCUUUCUUGAUGCUUAAAAUGCCUCAGUAUAAUCAGCAUUUAGCUUGAGAAUGUGUUCAGGAAACAGCUCAAAAGGAAUGUAGAAAUGUCAUGGCUGGCGUGGCAGAAUGUCACCUGAAAAACGAAGCAAACUGCUGUUCUGGCUCACAGUUUCAGAGGUGAACCUAUCCUCUGGUCUUCUGGAGGCAUAAGCAGAGUGAGGGAUUUCACGGGUGUUUAGGCGCCCCAGGAGGCUGCUGCCCAGGGUCCCCCUGCCGCAAGCCUGUCCACAGGCUCUAGAUGGGCCUGCAAACACUUCUUCUCUCUGUUGGAAGAGGAAAAGGACACAGGAGAGAAGGAACUGGGAGGCCAUCUGGGGAGCUGGGGUUCCCUAACUGAGCCCCUCCCCAAGGGCCUCUCUUUCUGGAUCUUCUCUCAGGUGGCUCUGGUUGCCUUUCCAAGGGCCGUGAAAAGCGCUAUUAGGAACUGGUAAGCGGGGCUCCUGGGGGAGCUCAAUCAGUUAAGUGUCUGACUCUUGAUUUCUGCUCAGGUCAUGACCUCACAGUUCGUGAGUUCUAGCCUCGCAUUGGGCUCUGUGCUGACAGUAUGGAGGCUGCAUGGGAUGAUGGGAUUUUCUCUCUCUCUCUGCCCCUCCCUCGCUCAUGGUCUCUGUCUCAGAAAUCAAUAAAUAAGCAUUUAAAACAACAACAACAAAAAGGAACUGGUCAGCGGUCUGGGGUCAAAAGGAAGGAAUACAGAAUCAAAACUAAGGCAAAAGUGGCCAACGCAAGAGCCAGAACCAUCGGUCAAGGAACCCCACUGACGAGUCUGUAGUUGAAAGGAAGCAUCAAACCUCUCUCUUGACUUAGAGAAAGGUACGUCAAGACAUGACAUCAGCCCUCUGUCUGCAGUCAUAAACGCUGAGGCUUCGGGACGUGAUAAUGUUUCUGGAUUUGUAAGUUCAGAGCCUUGUUAGAUGCGCACUAACCCUUCCUGCUGUGGUAAAGCCCGCAGCCCUGACGUCAGGGGCCGUGGGACGGAGGGACAGGGUGCCAGUGAGGGGAGGGCAGCGGCCUGCGGCGGUGAUGGACUUUCAUGGUAUCCCUGCCCCACGGAAGUAGGUCAUGGCCACGUGACUUGUUGAGCCACAGAGCGUGGACGGACUGGCCCAUGGCACGUGUCCACCAGCCCCUAUGGAAAUUUUGCACGUCCGCCGCUCCUGUCCCCUGGGAUGCAGAGCACAUGUCACUUUGACCGGCAGCCUGAAGCAGAACCCCGUGGAUGACCGCAGACCCCCGAGUGAAAAGUGUUUGCGGUCUCUGGCCCCUGAGCUGUUCCUUUGGCCCUGCUUUGAAAGAAGGAACUUCACCUAAUCUCAUCACAUCUGAUUCUACUCCAGUGGUGCAGUUCCGUGCAAGUCACGAAGCAGCUGUGACAUACCCAGGAAUUUUCUUGGUUCUAGGCUCCCUUCUGAUCUCAUAGGAGCGCAGGAGACGUAAGACUUUCACUCUAACUUUUAUGCCUUUUUAAGUUGAGGUAUAGCUGACGUACAUUAGUUUCAGGUGUACAUCAUAAUGAUUUGAUGUUUGCAUAUAUUACAAAAUGAUCACUGCGAGUCUAGUUAACAUCUGUUA